rnacentral:rRNA from 1 species
GAUGAACGCUGGCGGCGUGCCUAAUACAUGCAAGUCGAGCGAACAGACGAGGAGCUUGCUCCUCUGACGUUAGCGGCGGACGGGUGAGUAACACGUGGAUAACCUACCUAUAAGACUGGGAUAACUUCGGGAAACCGGAGCUAAUACCGGAUAACAUGUUGAACCGCAUGGUUCAACAGUGAAAGACGGUCUUGCUGUCACUUAUAGAUGGAUCCGCGCCGCAUUAGCUAGUUGGUAAGGUAACGGCUUACCAAGGCAACGAUGCGUAGCCGACCUGAGAGGGUGAUCAGCCACACUGGAACUGAGACACGGUCCAGACUCCUACGGGAGGCAGCAGUAGGGAAUCUUCCGCAAUGGGCGAAAGCCUGACGGAGCAACGCCGCGUGAGUGAAGAAGGUCUUCGGAUCGUAAAGCUCUGUUAUUAGGGAAGAACAAAUGUGUAAGUAACUAUGCACGUCUUGACGGUACCUAAUCAGAAAGCCACGGCUAACUUCGUG